rnacentral:snRNA from 1 species
UGUCUUGAAUGCACCACGUGUCACCCCAUUUUUUGCUAGGGUUUAUUUAGCUGAUUUGGCUGGCUAGGCGAGUGUCCCCUUCCUCUCUCACCACACCAUGUGCAUCCCUCCAGAAACUGUGCUCUACUGAAGCUAUGUUCUUUGUUGAAGAAGACAACCUUCCUGGAAUAGGGAAGGACACGUCUUCUGUCAAAGGUAUAAGAGUAGCUGUGCUCCCCUGCUAUAACCUCCAAACAAGCUCAAGGUUUUGUUUUUGUUUUUGUUUUUUUUUUUUCUUAUUCACUUAGGCAAGAGAAUAUUGACAAGAAGAACCAGUACAAACUUAUACAGUGCCUGAAAGCAUUUAUGA